rnacentral:rRNA from 1 species
UACGUAGGGUGCAAGCGUUGUCCGGAAUUAUUGGGCGUAAAGAGCUCGUAGGCGGUCUGUCGCGUCGGCUGUGAAAACCCGAGGCUCAACCUCGGGCCUGCAGUCGAUACGGGCAAACUGGAGUGUUGCAGGGGAGACUGGAAUUCCUGGUGUAGCGGUGAAAUGCGUAGAUAUCGAGAGGAACACCUGCGGCGAAGGCGGGUUGCUGGGCUGACACUGACGCUGAUGCGCGAAAGCUAGGGGAGCGAACGGG